rnacentral:rRNA from 1 species
CCGGGAUUGCCUUAGUAACGGCGAGUGAAGCGGCAAAAGCUCAAAUUUGAAAUCUGGUACCUUCGGUGCCCGAGUUGUAAUUUGGAGAGGGCAACUUUGGGGCCGUUCCUUGUCUAUGUUCCUUGGAACAGGACGUCAUAGAGGGUGAGAAUCCCGUGUGGCGAGGAGUGCGGUUCUUUGUAAAGUGCCUUCGAAGAGUCGAGUUGUUUGGGAAUGCAGCUCUAAGUGGGUGGUAAAUUCCAUCUAAAGCUAAAUAUUGGCGAGAGACCGAUAGCGAACAAGUACAGUGAUGGAAAGAUGAAAAGAACUUUGAAAAGAGAGUGAAAAAGUACGUGAAAUUGUUGAAAGGGAAGGGCAUUUGAUCAGACAUGGUGUUUUGUGCCCUCUGCUCCUUGUGGGUAGGGGAAUCUCGCAUUUCACUGGGCCAGCAUCAGUUUUGGUGGCAGGAUAAAUCCAUAGGAAUGUAGCUUGCCUCGGUAAGUAUUAUAGCCUGUGGGAAUACUGCCAGCUGGGACUGAGGACUGCGACGUAAGUCAAGGAUGCUGGCAUAAUGGUUAUAUGCCGCCCGUCUUGAAACACGGACCUCCUGUG